GAACGCACAUUGCGCCCAAUGGUAUUCCAUUGGGCAUACCUGUUUGAGUAUCAUGAACACCUCAACUCUCAUGGUUUGCCAUGAUGAGCUUGGACUUUGGGGGUCUUGCUGGCCUAUGGUCGGCUCCUCUCAAAUGAAUCAGCUUACCAGUGUUUGGUGGCGUCACAGGUGUGAUAACUAUCUACGCUUGUGGCUUUCCAUCAGGUAACCUUCAGCGAUGGAGGUUUGCUGGGGCUCAUAAAUGUCUCUCCUCAGCGAGGACAGCUUUUUUGAACGUUUGAUCUCAAAUCAGGUAGGACUACCCGCUGAACUUAAG
rnacentral:misc_RNA from 1 species